UGAUCCAGCAAUGCCGCGUGAGUGAAGAAGGCCUUAGGGUUGUAAAGCUCUUUCGGCGGGGACGAUGAUGACGGUACCCGCAGAAGAAGCCCCGGCUAACUCCGUGCCAGCAGCCGCGGUAAUACGGAGGGGGCUAGCGUUGUUCGGAAUUACUGGGCGUAAAGGGCGCGUAGGCGGCGCUGUCAGUCAGGUGUGAAAGGCCUGGGCUCAACCCGGGGACUGCACUUGAUACUGCGGCGCUGGAGUCCGGGAGAGGAUGGCGGAAUUCCCAGUGUAGAGGUGAAAUUCGUAGAUAUUGGGAAGAACACCGGUGGCGAAGGCGGCCAUCUGGACCGGCACUGACGCUGAGGCGCGAAAGCGUGGGGAGCAAACAGGAUUAGAUACCCUGGUAGUCCACGCCGUAAACGAUGCGUGCUAGACGUUGGGGGGCUUGCCCUUCAGUGUCGUCGCUAACGCAUGAAGCGCGCCGCCUGGGGAGUACGGUCGCAAGAUUA
rnacentral:rRNA from 1 species